CUGGCGGCAGGCCUAACACAUGCAAGUCGAACGGUAACAGGAAACAGCUUGCUGUUUCGCUGACGAGUGGCGGACGGGUGAGUAAUGUCUGGGAAACUGCCUGAUGGAGGGGGAUAACUACUGGAAACGGUAGCUAAUACCGCAUAACGUCGCAAGACCAAAGAGGGGGACCUUCGGGCCUCUUGCCAUCAGAUGUGCCCAGAUGGGAUUAGCUAGUAGGUGGGGUAACGGCUCACCUAGGCGACGAUCCCUAGCUGGUCUGAGAGGAUGACCAGCCACACUGGAACUGAGACACGGUCCAGACUCCUACGGGAGGCAGCAGUGGGGAAUAUUGCACAAUGGGCGCAAGCCUGAUGCAGCCAUGCCGCGUGUAUGAAGAAGGCCUUCGGGUUGUAAAGUACUUUCAGCGGGGAGGAAGGGAGUAAAGUUAAUACCUUUGCUCAUUGACGUUACCCGCAGAAGAAGCACCGGCUAACUCCGUGCCAGCAGCCGCGGUAAUACGGAGGGUGCAAGCGUUAAUCGGAAUUACUGGGCGUAAAGCGCACGCAGGCGGUUUGUUAAGUCAGAUGUGAAAUCCCCGGGCUCAACCUGGGAACUGCAUCUGAUACUGGCAAGCUUGAGUCUCGUAGAGGGGGGUAGAAUUCCAGGUGUAGCGGUGAAAUGCGUAGAGAUCUGGAGGAAUACCGGUGGCGAAGGCGGCCCCCUGGACGAAGACUGACGCUCAGGUGCGAAAGCGUGGGGAGCAAACAGGAUUAGAUACCCCGGUAGUCCACGCCGUAAACGAUGUCGACUUGGAGGUUGUGCCCUUGAGGCGUGGCUUCCGGAGCUAACGCGUUAAGUCGACCGCCUGAGGAGUACGGCCGCAAGGUUAAAACUCAAAUGAAUUGACGGGGGCCCGCACAAGCGGUGGAGCAUGUGGUUUAAUUCGAUGCAACGCGAAGAACCUUACCUGGUCUUGACAUCCACGGAAGUUUUCAGAGAUGAGAAUGUGCCUUCGGGAACCGUGAGACAGGUGCUGCAUGGCUGUCGUCAGCUCGUGUUGUGAAAUGUUGGGUUAAGUCCCGCAACGAGCGCAACCCUUAUCCUUUGUUGCCAGCGGUCCGGCCGGGAACUCAAAGGAGACUGCCAGUGAUAAACUGGAGGAAGGUGGGGAUGACGUCAAGUCAUCAUGGCCCUCACGACCAGGGCUACACACGUGCUACAAUGGCGCAUACAAAGAGAAGCGACCUCGCGAGAGCAAGCGGACCUCAUAAAGUGCGUCGUAGUCCGGAUUGGAGUCUGCAACUCGACUCCAUGAAGUCGGAAUCGCUAGUAAUCGUGGAUCAUAUGCCACGGUGAAUACGUUCCCGGGCCUUGUACACACCGCCCGUCACACCAUGGGAGUGGGUUGCAAAAGAAGUAGGUAGCUUAACCUUCGGGAGGGCGCUUACCACUUUGUGAUUCAUGACUGGGGUGAAGUCGUAACAAGGUAACCGUAGGGGAACCUGCGGUUG
rnacentral:rRNA from 1 species